rnacentral:rRNA from 1 species
GCAUAUCAAUAAGCGGAGGAAAAGAAACCAACAGGGAUUGCCCCAGUAACGGCGAGUGAAGCGGCAACAGCUCAAAUUUGAAAUCUGGCCCCUUGGGGCCCGAGUUGUAAUUUGCAGAGGAUACUUUUGGCGAGGCGCCUUCCGAGUUCCCUGGAACGGGACGCCAUAGAGGGUGAGAGCCCCGUCUGGUUGGAUGCCGAGCCUCUGUAAAGUUCCUUCGACGAGUCGAGUAGUUUGGGAAUGCUGCUCUAAAUGGGAGGUAUAUGUCUUCUAAAGCUAAAUAUUGGCCAGAGACCGAUAGCGCACAAGUAGAGUGAUCGAAAGAUGAAAAGCACUUUGGAAAGAGGGUUAAAAAGCACGUGAAAUUGUUGAAAGGGAAGCGCUUGUGACCAGACGUGGGCCUGUCGGAUCAUCCAGCGUUCUCGCUGGUGCACUCCGGCGGGCUCAGGCCAGCAUCAGCUCGUCCCGGGGGACAAAGGCAGCGGGAAUGUGGCUCCUUCGGGAGUGUUAUAGCCCGCUGCGUAAUGCCCUGGGGCGGGCUGAGGUUCGCGCAUCUGCAUGGAUGCUGGCAUAAUGGUUAUCAGCGACCCGUCUUGAAACACGGACCAAGGAGUCGUCUUCGUAUGCGAGUGUUCGGGUGUCAAACCCCUACGCGUAAUGAAAGUGAACGCAGGUGAGAGCUUCGGCGCAUCAUCGACCGAUCCUGAUGUUCUCGGAUGGAUUUGAGUAAGAGCAUACGGGGCCGGACCCGAAAGAAGGUGAACUAUGCCUGUGUAGGGUGAAGCCAGAGGAAACUCUGGUGGAGGCUCGCAGCGGUUUCUGACGUGCAAAUCGAUCGUCAAACAUGGGCAUGGGGGCGAAAGACUAAUCGA